GCGGCGGUAGUCUAGCUGGUUAGGACAUGAGCUUGCCAAGCUCAUAGCGCGGGUUCGAAUCCCGCCCGUCGCA
rnacentral:tRNA from 1 species